CUAAAGCUAAAUACUGGCCGGAGACCGAUAGCGAACAAGUAGAGUGAUCGAAAGAUGAAAAGCACUUUGAAAAGAGAGUUAAACAGCACGUGAAAUUGUUGAAAGGGAAGCGUUUGCGACCAGACUCGCCCGCGGGGUUCAGCCGGCAUUCGUGCCGGUGUACUUCCCCGUGGGCGGGCCAGCGUCGGUUUGGGCGGCCGGUCAAAGGCCCUCGGAAUGUAUCACCUCUCGGGGUGUCUUAUAGCCGAGGGUGCAAUGCGGCCUGCCUGGACCGAGGAACGCGCUCGGCUCGGACGCUGGCGUAAUGGUCGUAAAUGACCCGUCU
rnacentral:rRNA from 1 species